AUGGAGAAUUGAUGAACGCUGUUCAUCAAUAAAGUUUCCGUGUUUCGUUUUGUUCAGUUUUGAGAGAACUAUCUCUCAUAUAUAAAUGUAUGUUCUUUGAAAACUAGAUAACAGUGUAGCUCAUAUUUUUUAAUUUUUAGUUU
rnacentral:misc_RNA from 5 species